rnacentral:rRNA from 1 species
GGAUUAAUACCCCAUAAUACUAUAAAUAAGCAUUUAUUAAUAGUAAAAACUCCGGUGGUUAAGGAUGGGCAUGCGUACCAUUAGAUAGUUGGCAAGGUAACGGCUUACCAAGUCUACGAUGGUUAGGGGGCCUGAGAGGGUGGUCCCCCACACUGGUACUGAGACACGGACCAGACUCCUACGGGAGGCAGCAGUGAGGAAUAUUGCGCAAUGGACGAAAGUCUGACGCAGCCAUGCCGCGUGCAGGAUGACGGCCCUACGGGUUGUAAACUGCUUUUAUACAGGAAGAAAACUUUCAACGUGUUGAGAGUUGACGGUACUGUAAGAAUAAGCAUCGGCUAACUCCGUGCCAGCAGCCGCGGUAAUACGGAGGAUGCAAGCGUUAUCCGGAUUUAUUGGGUUUAAAGGGUGCGUAGGCGGAAUAAUAAGUCAGUGGUGAAAUCCUGCAGCUUAACUGUAGAACUGCCAUUGAUACUGUUAUUCUUGAAUAUAGUUGAGGUAGGCGGAAUGUGUAAUGUAGCGGUGAAAUGCAUAGAUAUUACACAGAACACCGAUUGCGUAGGCAGCUUACUAAGCUAUUAUUGACGCUGAGGCACGAAAGCGUGGGGAUCGAACAGGAUUAGAUACCCUGGUAGUCCACGCUGUAAACGAUGAUCACUAGCUGUUGGCGAUACACCGAUCAGCGGCAAAGCGAAAGCAUUAAGUGAUCCACCUGGGGAGUACGGUCGCAAGAUUGAAACUCAAAGGAAUUGACGGGGGCCCGCACAAGCGGAGGAACAUGUGGUUUAAUUCGAUGAUACGCGAGGAACCUUACCUGGGCUUAAAUGCAGGACGACGAACUGGGAAACCAGUUUUCUCUUCGGAGCGGACUGCAAGGUGCUGCAUGGUUGUCGUCAGCUCGUGCCGUGAGGUGUCGGGUUAAGUCCCAUAACGAGCGCAACCCCUAUCGUUAGUUGCCAGCGGAUCAUGCCGGGGACUCUAACGAAACUGCCGGUGUAAACCGAGAGGAAGGUGGGGAUGACGUCAAAUCAGCACGGCCCUUAUGUCCAGGGCUACACACGUGUUACAAUGGUCGGUACAGAGGGUAGCUACUAUGUAAAUAGAUGCCAAUCUCGAAAACCGGUCUUAGUUCGGAUCGAAGUCUGCAACUCGACUUCGUGAAGCUGGAUUCGCUAGUAAUCGCGCAUCAGCCACGGCGCGGUGAAUACGUU